AUUGAACGCUGGCGGCAUGCCUUACACAUGCAAGUCGAACGGCAGCACGGGUGCUUGCCCCUGGUGGCGAGUGGCGAACGGGUGAGUAAUACAUCGGAACAUGUCCUGUAGUGGGGGAUAGCCCGGCGAAAGCCGGAUUAAUACCGCAUACGAUCUACGGAUGAAAGCGGGGGACCUUCGGGCCUCGCGCUAUAGGGUUGGCCGAUGGCUGAUUAGCUAGUUGGUGGGGUAAAGGCCUACCAAGGCGACGAUCAGUAGCUGGUCUGAGAGGACGACCAGCCACACUGGGACUGAGACACGGCCCAGACUCCUACGGGAGGCAGCAGUGGGGAAUUUUGGACAAUGGGCGAAAGCCUGAUCCAGCAAUGCCGCGUGUGUGAAGAAGGCCUUCGGGUUGUAAAGCACUAUUGUCCGGAAAGAAAUCCUUGGCCCUAAUACGGUCGGGGGAUGACGGUACCGGAAGAAUAAGCACCGGCUAACUACGUG
rnacentral:rRNA from 1 species